rnacentral:rRNA from 1 species
GACGAACGCUGGCGGCGUGCUUAACACAUGCAAGUCGAACGGUAAGGCCCUUCGGGGUACACGAGUGGCGAACGGGUGAGUAACACGUGGGUGAUCUGCCCUGCACUUCGGGAUAAGCCUGGGAAACUGGGUCUAAUACCGGAUAGGACCCUGGGAUGCAUGUCCUGGGGUGGAAAGCUUUUGCGGUGUGGGAUGGGCCCGCGGCCUAUCAGCUUGUUGGUGGGGUGAUGGCCUACCAAGGCGACGACGGGUAGCCGGCCUGAGAGGGUGACCGGCCACACUGGGACUGAGAUACGGCCCAGACUCCUACGGGAGGCAGCAGUGGGGAAUAUUGCACAAUGGGCGCAAGCCUGAUGCAGCGACGCCGCGUGAGGGAUGACGGCCUUCGGGUUGUAAACCCCUUUCAGUAGGGACGAAGCGCAAGUGACGGUACCUACAGAAGAAGGACCGGCCAACUACGUGCCAGCAGCCGCCGUAA